UGAGGAAUAUUGGUCAAUGGCCGGAAGGCUGAACCAGCCAAGUCGCGUGAGGGAAUAAGGCCCUACGGGUCGCAAACCUCUUUUGUCGGGGAGCAAUGGGUGACUUGCGAGUCAUCAGGGAGAGUACCCGAAGAAAAAGCAUCGGCUAACUCCGUGCCAGCAGCCGCGGUAAUACGGAGGAUGCGAGCGUUAUCCGGAUUUAUUGGGUUUAAAGGGUGCGCAGGCGGUACGGAAAGUCAGCGGUAAAAUUACGGAGCUCAACUCCGCCGAGCCGUUGAAACUUCCGCACUAGAGUGAGCGAGAAGUAAGCGGAAUGCGUGGUGUAGCGGUGAAAUGCAUAGAUAUCACGCAGAACGCCGAUUGCGAAGGCAGCUUACCGGCCGGCUCAACAUGACGCUCAGGCACGAAAGUGCGGGUAUCGAACAGGAUUAGAUACC
rnacentral:rRNA from 1 species